GUUUCCGUGGUGUAGCGGUUAUCAUGUGUGCUUCACACGCACAAGGUUCCCAGUUCAAUCCCAGGCAGUAACU